rnacentral:rRNA from 1 species
GAUGAACGCUGGCGGCGUGCUUAACACAUGCAAGUCGAACGAUGAAGCCCAGCUUGCUGGGUGGAUUAGUGGCGAACGGGUGAGUAACACGUGAGUAACCUGCCCUUGACUCUAGGAUAAGCCCGGGAAACUGGGUCUAAUACUGGAUAGGAACGUCUACCGCAUGGUGGGUGUUGGAAAGAAUUUCGGUCAUGGAUGGACUCGCGGCCUAUCAGCUUGUUGGUGAGGUAAUGGCUCACCAAGGCGACGACGGGUAGCCGGCCUGAGAGGGUGACCGGCCACACUGGGACUGAGACACGGCCCAGACUCCUACGGGAGGCAGCAGUGGGGAAUAUUGCACAAUGGGCGAAAGCCUGAUGCAGCGACGCCGCGUGAGGGAUGACGGCCUUCGGGUUGUAAACCUCUUUCAGUAGGGAAGAGGCGAAAGUGACGGUACCUGCAGAAGAAGCACCGGCUAACUACGUG